AAAACAAUGGUACUUGUCAAAGCGGUUUUAUCGACAAAAGAUAUCGCUGUUUGUGUACCACUGGAUUCAGAGGUCCGAACUGUGAAAAAGUUUCAGCUUCGACGUGUAGAGAAAUUUUCGACCGGAAUGUAUCAAAAAAGAGUGGCGAAGUUGCCCUGCACUUAGACUCAAAGCCAAUUUCUGUUUUCUGUCACAUGGGAGACUUUGGGUGCGGAGAUGGAGGAUGGACGCCGGUUAUGAAGAUUAAU